UGGAUCAGGAUGAGUACCCUGGGGUGUCUGAAUUAAAGAUUUUGAUGAAGCUCUGUAGGUCUGAGGUCAUC
rnacentral:snoRNA from 1 species